UCUGGUGGCGAGUGGCGAACGGGUGAGUAAUGUAUCGGAACGUGCCCAGUAGCGGGGGAUAACUACGCGAAAGCGUAGCUAAUACCGCAUACGCCCUACGGGGGAAAGCAGGGGAUCGCAAGACCUUGCACUAUUGGAGCGGCCGAUAUCGGAUUAGCUAGUUGGUGGGGUAACGGCUCACCAAGGCGACGAUCCGUAGCUGGUUUGAGAGGACGACCAGCCACACUGGGACUGAGACACGGCCCAGACUCCUACGGGAGGCAGCAGUGGGGAAUUUUGGACAAUGGGGGAAACCCUGAUCCAGCCAUCCCGCGUGUGCGAUGAAGGCCUUCGGGUUGUAAAGCACUUUUGGCAGGAAAGAAACGUCAUGGGUUAAUACCCCGUGAAACUGACGGUACCUGCAGAAUAAGCACCGGCUAACUACGUGCCAGCAGCCGCGGUAAUACGUAGGGUGCAAGCGUUAAUCGGAAUUACUGGGCGUAAAGCGUGCGCAGGCGGUUCGGAAAGAAAGAUGUGAAAUCCCAGAGCUUAACUUUGGAACUGCAUUUUUAACUACCGGGCUAGAGUGUGUCAGAGGGAGGUGGAAUUCCGCGUGUAGCA
rnacentral:rRNA from 1 species